rnacentral:misc_RNA from 1 species
AGCAGCCGCGGUAAUUCCAGCUCCAAUAGCGUAUAUUAAAGUUGUUGCAGUUAAAAGCUCGUAGUUGAAUUUCGGGGUUAGUAGAUUGGUCAUGCCACCGGUAUGUACUGGUCUCACUGAUUCCUCCUUCCUGAUGAGCCGUAAUGCCAUUAAUUUGGUGUUGCGGGGAAUUUGGACUGUUACUUUGAAAAAUUGAGUGUUUAAAGCAAGCUAACGCUUGAAUACAUUAGCAUGGAAUAAUGAAAUAGGACGUUCGAUCCUAUUUUGUUGGUUUCUAGGAUUGACGUAAUGAUUAAUAGGGAUAGUUGGGGGCAUUAGUAUUCAAUUGUCAGAGGUGAAAUUCUUGGAUUU